GUGCUUGCUUCGUCAGCACUUACACGAAAAUUGAAACAAUACAGAGAAGAUUCACUUGGCCCCUGCUUAAGGAUGACAUUCAAAUUUGUGAAGUUCUCCAUUUAAAA
ensembl:snRNA U6 U6 spliceosomal RNA